CUCGUCGGUGGUGUGUCGGCUCGAAGGACGGCCCCCGUGCUCUGACACACUCACACACACGCGGACACACACCUCCGCGAUGUGUCACUACCAAUUCCACCUGCCUCUUCCCGUCAUUCCACGCUCGCCGCUCCAUCUACCUACACUUGCUCUUUUCCCUCCCUUUUUUUUUGUAUUCUUUCUCUCUGUCUUUCUCUCCACCCCUCCUUGUCCUUACACCACCACCCCUACUCAACUCACCCCCCUACGCUGUGUGUCACCACAGCCGGGAAGAAAGUAAAAAUGCUCCAGCUGACGAAAGUGAGAAGAGGAAGGAAGAAAACAGAGAGAAGAGUCAAAGAGGAGAAGACAGUGAAAGCUGGAGUGUGUUUGGAGCUCAGCGAUGCCUCCAUCCAUCAUCAUGAGCCGGACUCUUCUUUGAUGGAAUAUCCCGGACAGCGGAGGAGCAGAAGGAGGCAGAAGAAGGGAGAAGAAGAAGUAGAGGAGAAGGAGGACUGAGAGAAGAAGAAAAGGACUGAGAAGGCAGGACAGCCGGUGCAAGCCUCAGGAGGCUCCAUCCAGUCCAGUCUCAUUGUCCUCACACACACACACACACACACACACCUCGCCGCCGAGCGUGUGAGCACGCACGCGUGUGUGUGUGUGCAUGUGUCUCUGGGAGGACGGAGGUGCAGCCGGUCAUUUCUACACCACAGCACAGCAGCGGAGCGCCGGGUUCCACUCUGAGGUGAACGUGGAUGCGGCGCUUCAGAUAGGCCAUGCCCUUCACCUGUGCCUGCUUCUGUGGCCUGAACGGCUUCUGCCGCAGACGGAGGAAGAAGAAAAAGGAGCAAGUGGAGGAAGAGGAGGCUGAGGAGGGAGAACAACGGAGGGAUCAGGAGACAGAGGUGUGACAGCGGCGCUGUCAGCUGCAAUCUCUUCACCUUCAACAGGGUUUUAUCCUUUUAACAGCCUGCAAUGUACAGCCCAGGUUACUGCCACUCAGUUCAGACUGUCUUAUAUUAUGUGUUGGGAUACUAUAACAGGGACUUUAUAGGGGCUUCAGAAAACACAUGCUUUUAUUGAACAUUCUGAAUGAAUUGUGCAUUUUUCAACCAGGUACUGUAUCUUUUUGCAAUAUCUGUGACUAAGACUUUAGGAUUUUCUACUUUUUAAAUGUCUAAACUCUACAACCACAGCACUGUCUUGAGCCAUAUUCCUCAAGAUGAAUCAAACUGAUGAAAAUAAAAGCCUGUGAACUCUGAGCCCAUCCACAUUACCCAUCCCUGCAACACUCUACUUUUUCCCUUGGCAGCUGACUGAGAACUUUGCUUCUGCUGAUGUGAUUCCAAAAAGAAAAAACAUUUCUUUUUCAUUCAUUUGAUUCAUGUCUUGCCAUAGCUGGUGUACCGCAUAAGGUGUGAAAAGAUGCCGGGGCCCUAGAAAUCCAUUAUUUCUCUCAGUCACACCUCUCAGCCAUGCCCCAUCUCUGCCUUCUCCCCCCUUAAUCGUAGUUCCACGGAGGCUGAAUUGGAACCAAAGCUCGCAGGAGCUCUGCACCUCCUCACCUGCCUGCUUAUGUCAGAUCAACUUAGUGAAAACUUCAGCCAAGUGAGAAAGUGUGCAGUAAUUUCCAAAGUCACCCACGGAGGGCUGGAGCCCCAUCUCGGUUUUCACGCUGAGCUGGGCCCAAUCUAAAGCCGAGCAGCUGUCCAAUCAGCAGCUUAGCUGGAGUGUGAAGAUAGGAGUCAAGGGUCAGAAUGAGCAACAGGGUUUGCGAGAAGUCCCUCCUCUGAUGCCGUAGCAUCUCUGUCUCAUUAAUAGGCAGCCAAGUAAUUACAAACGCACACUCACCGAUGCAGACCCAUCAAUUAAUGUCCCCCCCGGUGGGAGUGGAGAGUCUGUCCGUAAAUGCCACUGCGGUGUGCUUCCAGCUGUCACCUGUGUGAGUGUAUGACUCUGAAAGUGUAUGCGCGUGCUUGUGUUUCGUCUCGGCUGCAACAAUAGACUUUCAAAGCUGAAACAAGUGGUUAAGAUAUCCAUUCAGCUGCUAUAGAACCGCCUUUUCAGAAUGCACAUCGAGACACAAAGACAAAGACACACACACAUACAGGUCUCAUUAGCGUGUGUGAUUAUGCAUGGCACGUCCAGUCAGGCAGUGGAGAUGUAAUUAACCUUUUCCAGCAGGAAACAGAUGCCUGGAUGUCACACACAAACACACACACACACACACACGUCUGCUGUCAGGGAAACAAAGCCAACGUCACGGUGUCACGGAAACAAAGCCCCAAAAGCGCCGCCUGGCACUCUGUGAUAAUCCCCUCACGCAUAUUUACAUUCAGGGCUUAGAAUGCUGCCGUCUCCACUCUUCCACCACCACCCCACCCGCCCUUCCUCCGCUUCCACCCAUCCAUCCUCUCGCUCCCCUCUGUCUACCUUUUUGGCCUUCCACCUGAUUCACCUUAUUCCUUCCGCUAUCUCUUCCUCCCCUUCAUCUUUUACAUCUCCACCCAAACCUCUCCUCCUCGUCGGGGUUCAUCUGUUUAUUAUCAGUGGAUAGUACACGGCCUUGCAUGGCAGCUCCCGCAGAUUAGCCCCCACUCUCUCUUUCUCUGACUCUGAAUAUCAGGGAUUUCUUCAGGCGGGCAAAAAGCUGCUUUACGACAGAUUAAUGGACGGCCCUGAUUGUGUCUGUCGGUGUGUGUCUGUGCCUGCGUGGAAUAGAUUGUCUGUUUACUCGUUCUCCCGCUACAAGCGGCGAAAUGAGACAAAGCUAAAGCCAUUUCACAGUGUAGAGCACCUAUUAUGAUUCACUGUGUUACGACGCAGCCCUAAUGAGAAAGAGAGAGAAUGAGAAGAGGGGUUGGUGGAGGAUAGGAGAAAAAAGACGGUAAUGAGAGCGAGAGUUGGAUAUGGAAGAGGGGGGCUAAUGCUAGACAGAGCAGUCAUGCUAAUUGGCUACAGUGGAUAACUUUCUGAGGCGGGGUGAGUGUGUGUGUGUGUGUGUGUGUGUGUGUGGUGAAGGGGGGGGGGUUCCACUCGUUUAACGCUCCCUCCAUUUCACCUCUUUAAUGAGAGGAAUAUUCGCUCCAGUAAUGGCAAAAGACUUGAAAUCGGUAACGAUUUGUUGCUCACACACACACUUGGAGGUGGUAAGAAGGGGAUGGAGGGGUGGGGGAUGCUGGAGGGAGGAUGGUGUUAGUGGGGGCGGGUGUGUGUGUGUGUGUGUGUGUGUUUUCCCUCAAGCACCACAUCCCAGUCCUUUAUGGAUCAUGGCAAUUUUCAGGGAUUGUAACUCAAGGACAAACAGCUAAAAAUAGAGGGGUGGUGCACGACUCCUGCGAUAGCGGGGAGGGGGAGGUGGGAGGAGGCGUGUGCACGCGCGCGUGUGGGUGGGUGGGGACGGCGAAAAACGAGUCCUGUCGCAUUAGAUUUGGGUCAGAAACGAGGGAAGAGCCGACGAAGCGGAGAGUGUUACAGACGGCGGGGAGAUUCAUCACUCGCUUCUCCCCAUACCUCUCGCCCGUCUCCUUCAACGCUCCCUCCCCCUUCUCUCCGGAAAAGAUGGUAAACCGCUGGAAAGACAAAGGAGAAGUGGCAUCGCAGAAAAAAGAGCGAGAAUUGAAUGUAUAAUUUGACGGAAACAGAGACUGAACCACUGCUAGGUUAGAUAAUAUUAUAAUAUUAAUAUAUGCCAUUCCAUCCAAGGCUCUCUUGCUGUAUAAUGAGUGCAUACAUAAAUUCAUACUAUGAAAGAUCCCAAUAGGGAACAAACUCUAAUGUUGGAGCCUUGGGUCCCAGUUUAAAGGAAUGGUGUGACAUUUUCAAAAAGACGUUUAUUUGCUUUCAUGUCGAUGAGAAGAUGUGAGGAACGAUCCACUGUCAAGUCUGUACAGAAUGUUUAGCAUGGGGACAGAGGCAUGUGGGUAUUGAUUAGCUUAGUAUAAAAACUGGAAACAACUCUUGGCAAGGAAGCAUAUUUUCAGAAAAUAAUUUACUUUACCUUU